GAAUCGCAUGGCCUUGAGCCGGCGACAUAUCCAUCGAAGGUGUGCCCUAUCAUCUGUCGACUGUGGCAUAGACGCCCACAGUGGAUUUGACGGGUAACGGGGAAUCAGGGUUCGAUUCCGGAGAGGGAGCCUUAAAAACGGCUACCACAUCCAAGGAAGGCAGCAGGCACGCAAAUUACCCAAUGACCGAAGGUCGAGGUAGUGACGAAAAAUAACGAUACGGGACUCAUCCGAGGCCCCGUAAUCGGAAUGAGUACACUUUAAAACCUUUCCAACGAGGAUCUAUUGGAGGGCAAGUCUGGUGCCAGCAGCCGCGGUAAUUCCAGCUCCAAUAGCGUAUAUUAAAGUUGUUGCGGUUAAAAAGCUCGUAGUCGGAUCUCGGCGGCUAGAGGGCGGUAUGCUUCGUAGCAUUACUGCUCUAUUAGCCGUAGUUUUGCUAGAGGUUCCUGGGUGCUCUUAAUCGAGUGUCUAGGGAUGCUAGCGGGUUUACUUUGAAAAAAUUAGAGUGCUCAAAGCAGGCUAUUACGCUUGAAUAUUCGUGCAUGGAAUAAUAGAAUAGGAAGUUGUUUCUAUUUUGUUGGUUUUCGGAAAUCGACUUAAUGAUUAAUAGGGACAGUCGGGGGCAUUUGUAUUCAAACGACAGAGGUGAAAUUCUUGGACCGUUUGAAGACAAGCUACUGCGAAAGCAUUUGCCAAGAAUGUUUUCAUUAAUCAAGAACGAAAGUUAGAGGUUCGAAGGCGAUUAGAUACCGCCCUAGUUCUAACCAUAAACGAUGCCAGCUAGCGAUCUGAGGACGUUUUUUUUGUAGACUCCUCAGGAAGCUUCCGGGAAACCAAAGCGUGUGGGUUCCGGGGGAAGUAUGGUUGCAAAGCUGAAACUUAAAGGAAUUGACGGAAGGGCACCA
rnacentral:rRNA from 1 species